CACCACAAGACUCACCUUCAUUUGGGUGAGAAUUUGAGAUGAGUUUUUAAAAAUUUAGCUGGGUGAUCCAUCUGGAUAUAGCAUUAAAAUGCACAAAACGAACAUCGAUUUGCAUCUUCACCCAGAUGGAUCACUUGGUUGAGCAAACGAACAACACCCAACACUAUGUAAAAACAAUAAAAAUAUGAUCGAUCAUUAAUGCGAUCGAUCCAUAGGAAAAUGAAUGUCAUGUUGUAAACUUAAGGAUUUAAAACUGUAAGUUUCCGUAUAUUAUUAAUGAAUAAGUGUUCCCUUUAUAUAGGGGUUAUAAGAGAGAUAAAUGCAAAUACAAUAAUAGGAAAUAGGCAAGUUGUAGCCGCCUCUCUCUCUUCUCCAAGUCUCGCGGCCGCCUCUCUCUCUCUAGGGUUGUCCG
rnacentral:lncRNA from 1 species